GGAGGGCUGUGGAAGCUUAGGGCCCUUGCUCACUAGAAGCAAGAAGCCCCCAACCCCUUCUUUAAAACAGAUUCUUUUGUCUUAAGUUUUCAUUUCUGCGUUCAUCCUCUUUUGUUCAGUCCCAUAGUAACUGUCACAAGUGGUGCCCAAACAGGGAUGAACAGGGAUAGGGACAGACAGGGACAGAUAGAGACAAGCAGGGACUUGCAGGGACUCGUAGAGACUAGCAGAGACAGACAGGGACAGACAGGGACACGAACGAGGAGGGUCCGCUGGAGCAGAGAAAGUGAAACUGGCCAGACGAACGAGAAACCCCAGAACGAGUCUGCUGGCAGUGGAUAUAAGGAGAUGGACAAACCAUGUGGGUGCCCUCAAGGUGUGUGCAACCAUGGAACAGGAGACUGGAGGGACCCAUGGAUCCCAACCAUGGGCCUGGUUCCCCUGGUAUGAGCCAUGAGCCAGUUGAAUCUGAGUGCAAAGACAGAGUGAGGACUGACCAGAGUCACACUGACAUCAACCCCCAUAACAUGAGGACAGAUUUUGUUCAAUUAAUGUAAAAACAAAAAGGGGGAGAUGUUGGAGGCCGAAAGAAUGAGGGUCAUGAUCAACUCAGUAUACCACUGGAGGCUGUAUGAGCAAACUGUUCUCAUAAUGCAGAAUGCUGGCAAACUGACAAACUGCGUCUGCCACCCAGAAGGAAUGCUGAGGGCAGUCACACCUCAGGCGCAGUGUUUGUGAUUAUCUACAGGCACACAUGAAGCCUGUCAGCAAUUAUGUGAACCUGUGAUAAAUCAAGCAGCUGACCAAAGGUUACCUGCUCCUCCCUGCUCUUUCUACCCAAUAAAUAUGGAGGGCUGUGGAAGCUCAGGGCCCUUGCUCACUAGAAGCAAAAGCAAGGACCCCUUCUUUAAAGCAGAUUCUUUUGUCUUGUUUUCAUUUCUGCAUUUGUCCUCUUUUGUUCGGUCCUGUAGUAACUGUCACAAGUGGCGUACAUCCUCCUUCAUUCAGUCCCAUAGUGACAGUCACACAAGUGCAGGUAUCUUUUUGGUGGAACGAUUUCUUCUCCUUUGGGUAGAUGCCCAGUGAUGGGAUUGCUGGAAUGAAUGGUAGUUCUAUGAGAACUCCCCAAACAGCUUUCCACGGGGGCUGAACUAAUGUACGUUCCCACCAAUAGUGUAUAAGCACUCCCUCUUGUCUGCAACUUCACCAGCAUCUCUUAUUUUUUGACCUUUUAAUAGCCAUUCUGACUGGUG
rnacentral:lncRNA from 10 species